rnacentral:sRNA from 1 species
CGUCACCGAUCCAACGGCCUGUCCACUACCAGGCCACGGCACCAACCCCAUCGUCAGCGGCUCGCCUGACGU